UAUCAACCCACUUGAUUAGCUGCUUCAAGUCUAGCGGUAUGCUGCUUAAUUUCAGAAACAUUUCCCAACCUUAUCAGCUGCCUGCUUGAAGUUAGUGGUUUACCGUUUGAGUACUAAAAAGUAUAGUUUUGUCCAAACCUACUGAAAUAGCUAUAUAAAUGUACAAGGAAAUAAUUGUAAUCCUAGCUACCCUUCUCUUUGAUCUCAUCCCCAACCAUCAUCUAAGAACAUAGAUUCCCAACCACACUAUACCACUUUGCUGAUAACUUUACCAUAUGAGUGACUGUGUCCGUUCAACUUAAAAUAACAUUUGUUUUUCGAAACCUUUCAAAUCAUUCUUAGUAGAGUUCAGUAACUCAUUUUAUAAGAUUAUAUUUCCACGUAAAUGAAUUUUUCUUAAAAUAUAAUGAAAGAAUAAGUUGAGGUUUUAAAUGCUUUGAUCAUGCAUUCAUUUGCUAAUAUGAGCUUUACAAAAUGAAAUAUCUAAGCUCAAUAACCCUAAUGCCCAUUCUUGUCUAGAUAGAGUUUUGUGCAUUUGAAUACCUUAAGCUUAUGAACAAUGCCUUUCAUAUUCUACCAUUGACACAUGGUUUGUUAUAGUAAAAAAUAAAAGACUGUAUAACUAUAUAGGUCAACAAAAUGUUCUAAAGGAAUGGAGUCAUAUUGAUCCAGUCACUAAAAAUUCCCUCAGAAAAGGGUAGUUGCUCUAAGGAACCAAGAAUAGAGAAAAACUACUCUAAGGAACCAAGAAUAGAGAAAAAGUACUCCAAGAAGAAACAAGUAUAUAUAUAAAAUUAGUGCUUUAAGAAGAAAUAGGUAUAUAUGAAAAAAUAAAUGCCCUUUUUUUUUCCAAAUCUCAAAGUUUAAAAUUUUAUCACUUAUAAUGCUAUGAUUAAUACUUUUACACAUAUAUAAUGCAAGGAAAAUCAUGCAAGUUAGCAGUGGGCAAUAGAAAAAUGUUGUAGCCAAAGGUACAAUGUUAGAAAAAAUUAUCCUAAUGUGAUUGUGCAUAGAGUACCAUUGUACCAUUGAUAGUCACAUAUGUUCAUGUGGCUGUUAAUAUUGCAAUUAAAGGAGAUGCCUUUUUACCAAGGCUUAGUGGGUAUGACUUAGUUCUUGUUAGCCAUGUCAUUAGAUCCCAUGUUGCUUGGUGUCACUGGGCUUUUAUAAACUAGGUGUGGCAACCCGCGUGAUGGCACUAAGAACUCCACUUAGCCAGCCAACCCAAACCCAACGGAAGCAAUAUAAUAGGAAGCAUAUCAGCGCUCGCAAAUGAAGGUUAUGCAAGAGCACUUUCUCGCCAACACAAAGAACAACACGCACACAAAACACAAGAACACAAGUAUUUGGCUUUUUAUAGAGGCAUCAACCCCCAACUUUUCUAUUUCCGCAAUAAGAAAAGAUUUACAAACAAUUUUAGUUUUAUAUGCUCAAGGACAAAAUGCUCAACUCAAAACUCGUGCCCCAACAUACAUCCCCAUCACUAUUUAUAUACAUGGUUGGCAAGUGACACACCCACUUGCUAAGGUUAGGUGGCGCACCACCCUCACGCCACCUUAAAUCCCUCCCCAAGUUUUUAGGCACCCACUAAGCAUGAUCCUAUGAGCACAUCUCCACUCCCCUUUGAUUUGAGCAAUCGCUGCCCACCAUGUCCAUUAGCAAGGAAUCAUGAGUUGUAACUACCACACCUACUAUCUUGCUCCUCAUUUUUAGGCACAUGAUCAAGGCCAUGUUCUCCCACUCUAGUUGUACCAGCAACUGCCACUCACGCUUAAUUUUAGGCCCACUUCUUGGAGAGUUGCAGCCAACCUUGCUCCACGUCUAGCAGCCAUUGUCUAUACCCAGUCAACGCAUGAACGCCUCUAAUUUUCGCAUGAUUCAGCCCCUACGUGCAUGCCUCAUGUCACUACACAUUCACGCGCACUUUGGUACACAAAUAUGCCACAAUCUCGCAGUUGUUCACGCAAUCCAAUAGCUGACUCGCACGCUGUUGAGCCCCAUACUUGCACGCCCUGUGCCAUGCUCGCUUGCGCACCUCAGCGCCUUGUGUUCGCAUGCCCAUUGCGCCCAUGCUCUUGUUAGAUGCUGAGUGCGCCACCCACACAUGCCCUCGCACGUGCUAUCCUGUAUUGCUUGCGCCCAUGCCACAUCAUACGCUUUGCUGCCGCGCCCUAGCCAAUGCGCCAACCUUGCCUUGUUUCUGCGCUCACCACAAGCACUCCCAUUUGCUGCCAAGACUCAGCACAAGUCCCCAAGCCAAGCCAUGAUAGUUGGCCCCAUGACUCACGGCGGUGAUACUUGGCCUAAACAAUUUGUCAUCUGGAAUGAUGUUGGGGUACAUAUUUUUGGGUCUAUCUCAUUUGGCUGGCCCUAAAGCCUCAAGUCUAAAAGGCUUACUUGACGUGCAAUUAAUAUUAAGUUUUAGACUUAGAUGAAAUUAGCCAAAUAAUAAUAUAUAUGAAAGAAAAAGAAAAUCAAGCUGUAACAGUGAUACAAAAAGGAAGAAAAAGACAAGAGAGAAAAAAAAGAGACAAUGGUGUAAUAUUUGUUUUUUGAGGCAAGAGUUUCAAGUUUUGAUUGGACGAUCGAAAUGCCAUUUUAAUUUUGUUUUCUUUUGAAUUUAGUGGGUAAGUUAUUGGCAUCACCUCUACAAUCCUACUUGUCUUGAUUUUUGUUUUAUCCUUUUGUUGGUUGUUAUUUGAGAUACCUACUUAUUAGAUAGAUAAAUAUUAAGUUGUUACUAUAGGCAACGAUUGUUGAGAUUCUUGAUGUUUUUAUGUUGUUAGCCUCUAGUGUUAUGUAGAGAUAAAUUUUUUCUGUAAUCCCAUUAUUAAUAUAAUCUGCUGUACGGCCAAGGCGGAUGUACGGUACAGCAGUUUUCCUAUCUGGAAUUCUCUCUAGUUACAGGCCUACAACACCUUGAAAUGACUUGAAGUACCAGCAAAAAUAGAUGCUCUUUGCAAGUACGCUUGUUGAGGGUUGACUAGAUCAUCAUUUAGUGAAAUUUAUCUUGGGGACUUUGACAAUAAACAAGCUGAAUUAUAUUUAUCAAUUGAAGACAUUGUAUGAUUCUAUGGCGUGGAAAAAAUUGUUAUUGUUGCACAAAGUAAUUAAAUUACUUAUUUUCUUAGCAAUAUAAUUAGUUAUAAUUUUUAUAUAUGCAGUGAAGUAAUUAUUACUUGUUUUCCAUAGGCAUCUUUACGAGGUCUUGAAGGAUCAUUACCUAGACCAUAUUUAUAAAAUAAAUCUAGUAAUCCUUCAACCUUUUGCAAUAAAACUUGAAAUGGUGAUGAGACUAGAGCUUGUGCAAUGUUAUCAAGAAUGGAAAUACUUGAUCUAGAAUAGCUUAUGACAUUUCCUUACAAUACCAGGUUUGUUAUUUUAUUGAUUGUACAUAGCAAUUGGAUUUUUCUUUCCGUUUCUUUUAUAAAAAUAUGCAAGACAGGUAUUUAUCACUAUAUGUAGCAAAGGUUGGAUGUUGAUUGUUAUGGAUCCACACAAAUUUAUAGUAUUUUUUUAUUCACUCAGUCAUGAACCUCCCCCUAAUUUGAAGAACUUUUUAUUAUUGUAAGUUGUCAUUUUUUGUCAAUUAUAACCCAUGUAUUUUUAACAUGUUUGACCAAGUGUGUACUUAAUCAUGUAUCUUAAGUGCUUUCAAGAUUUUUGGGGCAAAAAUGGGAAAUGCGAAUAAAAAAUCCUUUGCUCGGAAGAGGGUUAAGGUAUAUGAAACUGUACAUAUAUAUGUUCGGUUUAAAUUUAUUUACAUAUGCACAUGACAUCGAUUAGUUUAAAAUUCACAUGUAGUGUCCUCAAUAAACUACAAAUGUUGAAUGCCGAUAUUAUGUCAUUAGAUUUAUGAAGUAAUCAUUGGAAACCAAGAUGAUACAAUAAAAGACUUGGUACUAAUUUAUAGAUUUCAUAAUGUUGAUGCAUGUAUUAGUAUUGACUAUUUUGUAUAUGAUGUAUAGUUUGUUGGACGAGAUAGUUACAAUCAAAAGAAUAUUGAUGAAGUAAAAAUGGAGUGGGCAGAGUACAUAUGACAUAAUAUUUUUCCCUAAAUUUUGUAGCACAAUGACUUUGCAAGCUUAGUAAAUAAAUAGUAUUAUUUUUUAUCAAUAUCUUAGUUAUUGUCUUUGUUUCAAAAUAAGACAUUAAAAGGAUUAAUUUAUGAAAUUAUUUCAAUCAUUUUGAUAUUGUAAUCAAGGAAGGUUCAUCAAAAGAUUUCACUCACCAACUUUCUUUGGAUUUGGCAUGAUUAUUGGAGUAGCCAAUAGGAUGGCCACAUUUUGUUGUUCUUGUGAAGGAUGUAAUAUUUUUCUUUUAAGAGAAAAAGAGUUAUGGAUACCUAGAUACUUUAAUUUGGAAAUUAUAAACAUAAAGUGUUUUUUUUUAGUAUUGUUUAUGAUGUUUAGGAUUUGCAUGUGAUUAAUGCAAUUGCUUGAUGAAUAUUUAUUUUUAUACUAUAACUUUUCAAAAAAAUUAUUGCACUACAUGUUAGCAUAAAUAUUUAUAAUAUUAGUAGUAGUAAUAGUAGUAGUAGUAGUAGUAGUAGUAGUAGUUUAGUAGUAGUAGUAGUAAUAAUAAUAAUAAUAAACAUCCAUUUUAGAUCUUUAGUAAUGUAUUCAUAUUAUGGUGACUACUAUCAUUGACAUUCAUUACUUAAAAUCAAUCAUUUAUACUUGAAGAAAAGAGAGUUCUUUUAAAACAUUAGAUGACUGUUUUUUUUAGAAGUAAGUCAUCUAUGUUGAUAUCAAACAUAGUUCUUUACAACAUUAGAUGACUUUUUUUUUUUAAGAAAUGAGUAAUUUAUGAUGCUUAUUAGAUGACUCUCUUUACGACUCAUCUUUUGUACCUCGUUUUAGAUGACCGCUAAAAAGAUUACUAAUUUUACUUUGUCAUCAUAAGGUUAGUUUAAACGUCAUCUAUGUCGUUUUUUGUGGUAGUGAAUCUAUAUAUUUUGUAGCAUGGAAAAUAGAAAAUUUAUUUAACUUAUGUUAAUUAAACAUAAACUGAAUAAGAAAAUCCUAUGAUUCCGUGAUUUAAAUUAUGGCAUCAAUGCCAUAUAAACAUAAAUUUUAUGAAAUACGCAUAAAACUAGUAAAUAAAAAGUAAAAUAAGUAAAUUAGUGAAAGAAUGGUAAAUUAUAGAAUUGUAAACAAGACAAGCUCUUGUGAAAAUAAUAUAAAACUUGUAAAUCAAUAUUAAACUUAUAUUAAACAAAAAAAUUUGAUUCAUUUAAUUUGACUAAACAAAGAAAAAAUUCACUCAUCAAUUGAAAAAAAAAAAUGUAUUGAAAACAAUUGGAAUAAGUUUUAUUGUAUUGGUUUAACCAUACAUUUUAUAUUCAUUCUAGCACAUUCAUAAUUUUUUUUCCAUUUUCUAUUAUAGUAUUGUUUACUACUAAUUAAGCAAAAUUAUUUUUCUUGAUGUAGAUCAAGUCAAAAAAAUAUAUACAAAAAAUUAUUCUUAUAUUACUAGACAUAUAUGAUUUCAAUAAAUUGGAUCUAAUUUUAGCCUUAAUAAAAUUUCACAUAUAUCAUCACAUGUAUUACAUAAGCAAAAAAACUAUCAUUAUUCAAUUUAGAAACAAAAUCAACAAAUAUAUAAGAUAAUCAUUAUUAUAACGAGUUUUUAUUUUAUAUUUAUAAGGUUUUAUUUUUUAAUAUUAUUUAUUUUAAUUUACUUAUUUUACCAUCUAUUUACAAAUCUUAUGUUUGAUUUACAUAAUUUAUUUCUUAUUUUACACAUAGUUUACAAAUUUUAUGUUAUAUCAGUAAGUUUUUGUUUUAUUUGUCAAUAACACUCUAAUUUACCACUCCUAUGUUAAUUUUCUUGUAUUAUCUUUUAUUUACAAAUCUUAUUUUUUAUUUACUUAAUUUACGUUUUAUUUUAUACUUUGGUUUACAAGUUUUAUGUUAUAUUUGUGAGUCUUUGUUUUAUUUACUAAUAAUAUACCAAUUUACUACUCUUAUGUUAAUUUACUUAUUUUAUCUUGUAUUUACACUUUUUAUGUUCCAUUUACAUAAUUUAUGUUUUAUUUUAUACUUAAUAUUGAUUUAUAAGUUUUAUGUUAUAUUUGUAUGUUUUUGUUUUGCUUACCAAUAAUGCACCAAUUUAUUACUUCUAUAUUAAUUUACUUAUUUUACCCUCCAUUCAUAAGAAUUGUGUUCCACUUACAUAAUAUACAUUUGAUUUUACAAUUAAUGUUGGUUUACAAGUUUUAUAUUAUAUUUGUAAGUUUUUGUUUUGUUUACUAAUAAUGCCCCAAAUUACCAUUUCUAUAUAUGUGAAUUUUUUUUUACCUUUCAUUUAUAAGUCUUAUGUUUCGUUUAUUUAAUUAAUGCUUUUUUUCACAUUUAUUGAUAAUUUACAUAUUUAAUUUAUGUUUUAUUUGACAGUUAUUGAUUAUGCACAUAUUCAAUUUAUGUUUUAUUUGAUACUUAUUAAUGAUUCACUUAUUUAUUUUAUGUUUUAUUUGACACUUGUUGAUGAUUCAGAAGUUUUAUGUAAUAUUUAUAUGCUUUUGUUUUGUUUACUAUUGAUAUACCAAUUUAUCACUCUUAUGUUAAUUUACUUGUUUUAUCUUCUAUUUACAAGUCUUAUGUUCCCCUUACUUAAUUUAUGUUUUAUUUUACACUUAAUGUUAUUUUAAAAAUUUUAUAUUAAUUUAAAUUUCUUAUGUUUCAUUUAGAUAAUUUAUGUUUAAAUACAAUAUUAAUCAUGGCAUCAUAGAAUGAAUUUUUUUUUAAUAAUAUUUGGCUCUAAAAGGAAGUUCAAAUUGUUUCAUGCCCCCCUCAUUUCGUGGCCAAAACUAACCCCAGUUAAACGAUUUAUUAGGUAUUACUAUGGAUUUAUGAAGUAAGAAAUAAAAUUAUAAAUUAAUAAGAGCAAUGACAAACAUUUCAAAUGAUAAUAAAAUUUUAUCCUAAAUAAUGUGACAUUCACCAUGUGAAUGAUGAGAUAAUGUAAUUAAGUUAGGAUAUCUAAUAUUGUUUUAAUAAUUACUUUAUUGAAUAAUUUCAUGUGUUCAAUUAUCUCCAUCCUUACAUUUAUUUAAAUAAUAUUAUUAUAUUAUUUAAUAAUAUUACAUUUAUUAAAAAUAAUAAUAUUAAACUUAUUUAAAUGUAAUAUUAUUAUAUUUAGUUAAAAAAAUUAUAAUUUUUUAAAUAAGAGUAAAAUUGUUAUUUGAAACAAUUCACUCCUAAUUCAAGAUAAAGUAAACACAUAAACAAGAUUUUGAUUCUUAUUCCAACUUUCAUUCUAAUGUAAUAAAAAAUCUACUGCUACUCUUACGGCACACUCUCAAUCUCAGAAUUCUCACUCCAAUCCAAGAAGUAAACGUUACCCUAAAAUAUUGGACCAUUUGCAAAGGGAUCUAGUAGUCCUUGAAUUCGGCCCAUACCAGAAUAUUUUCUUUGCAAAAAUCUAGUAUCUUCAGCAGGCUCUCAGUAGUGUUCCUGAAGAGAAAAUUCCCCCUGCUGGCAAAACAAAGAAAUACCAUGCCACUUGGCUUAAGUGUACAAACUUUAUUUAAUAUUCUUUCAUUAACGUUCACUCACAAGAGUACAAAAAUCAGUUAAGUUAAGAGAAUGAAUCAUAAAAAUUCUGGAAUUAGAACAGACUUUAAUUAGUCAACACAAAACAUACUAGUUAUCCACAAUGCAUUAAGCUAACAAAUUAGCUUGAUCAACUGAAAAUAAACACUAUAUAUCUUAUAAUGUAUAUCCGUAACAGCAUAUAAUAUUAAUGGACAUUAUUAUAUAAUUUAGCUUCACCCAAUAUUUAAUUUGAUUAAGCUAAAAAAAUUUUCUUUGAUUAGCAGUCUCUCACAAGACACUUGAGUUAAUAAAAAAAUUAAGAUAAAUUUAAAUAUAAGGCAAAAUUUAUAAUUUCAAGCACAGUAAAGCAUAAAAGGUACUAAUUACCAAAGAAUGGAAGCGUAUAGUUAAUGAAGCAUAGAUUACUAAAAAAGACCCAUCUACAUCUGCUACUCACUUUGAGUGUAGAUCAGAAAAUGGUGUUGCCAUCUAUCUCGUUCCACUUGUCAUCAGUUAUCUCCAUGAGCCUUUCUCCAAUUACUGCCAAGCAAUUAUUUUUCCUCAAUACAACUUUUAUCUUCAUUUUCCACAAUGAAAAAUUAUUUCCGUUGAAUUUCUUAAUUUCGUAUUUUGCCGUCAUCGCUUUUCACCACAAACUAACUUUGCUAAGAUUGGCUCCCACCAUCUCACGUGAACAGUACCGUAUACGUGAAUAGUUCCAUAUAUGUGAAGAGUACUUUUACAUGAACAGUACCACCAACUCCAAAAAAAAAAAUACAACCAAUAACUCUGAUACCACUGUUAGGAAAUUGGUGGGUGAAGCAGGGCCACAACUAAAAUGAAAUUGGAAGAAAAUAAAGAACAAGUACAAAAGAGGACACCAGAAAAUAUUGUAAAUAUUUUACUACGUCCACGGGCGAAGACAGAAGGAAAAUAUUUUACUAGUAAUAUGAGGAUUACAAGUAUUGUAAUAUUUUGGCUCACUUCCCAGAACUCCAAUACACCAAAUCUCUCACUCACUAGACUCACAAGAGCUUUAUAAUUUUAAGCUCUUUAAAUCACUCAAACUCUCUGCUUUCUCUCUCACAAAAAAAUUGAAUUGCUUCGCUCUCAAUGGGAUGCCUAAAUGAGGGUGGGAAGCCCUCUUUAUAUAGCCAAAAUUUUGGCUUUUUUUUUUUAGUAUAAGUCAACAUGGCACCACAAAAAAUGGCGGACUGUGUUGAAUGGCAAGGCACCGCCCAUCCAGCCAUGACUUUAACAUAUCGAGCGUGUAACAGGGACAUGCUAACAAGGACGAAUUCUAUUAUCAAAUUAUGGUUAUGAGAUGAAUUUGCAUCUAAUCCUCAAUCAUUUUUUGCAAUUCUUUUUUUUCAUAUAUAUUCUUCAAUUACUCAAAAAGGAAACAAAGUGGACGCACACAAAAUCUGCCUACUUACAAAUUUUUGGCAAAGUAUGUUUCAAAUCAAUUAACAGCAUCAGCAUAUCUUGAGAUUUUCCUUCUACCGUUAAUUGUAACACAAAAUUAUAAAAACAAAAUAAAAGGAGGAUAGAAGAAAGAAACAUCCACCCAUACCUUUGACAAGAAUGGUUCAAGAACAGUUACAACUUCCACGGACAGAUUGAGAGCGAGCACGACAGAGAGUGGGGCUGCUGUUGCUGGCUUGCUGCUGUGUGUGCGUGUUGAGAGAGAGUAAGAGCGAGUGUGAGAGGGACUGCUGGUGGCCUGGUGCUGCCGUACUGGGCUGCUGCUGCGGGCUGCGAGUGCUGGCAUCCGUGCUGCUAAGAGGGAGGCUCUGCUGUGGCUUGAGGGAGGGGCUGCUGCUGUUUCGUGUUUAGAGAGUUUGGGAUUACAAUUUAGGGUGCGUUUGGGAUUAAGGUUGGGGAGCUGUAGUUUUUAAGUUACAGCAUUAAAGUGUUUGGUAAACACUAGCUGCUAUAACUUGGAAGUUAUGCUGAUAUAAUUUUUUACUUGUAUGAUGGAAAAUAUAUUAUAUCUUUAAUAAUUUUGUCAAAAUUAUUAUUUAAAAUUUAUAUUUACUAAAUAUUACUAACUUUUAUUUCAAAAUUAUAAUUUUUUUUUCACAGUAGCUAUAGCUUAAAAGUUAUAGCACCUCAAUCCCAAACGCACCCUUAGUCACUUGGAAUUUUAAGGAUUUAGUUUUAGGAUCAUGAUCCUCUCCUGAUAUGAUCUUUAUCUGAGCAAGUGCUAUUAAUAUGAUUGGUGGUUAAUAAAUGAAAAAAAAAGUAGUUAAAUCUUAACCAUUCACUAAUAUUAAAAUACAGGUGGCACAAGAUCUGUCAAAGAUUAAGAGUGCUCAGAUCAGGAGAGGAUCUCAAUCCUUAGUUUUAGGGCUGGUUUUUUUUAAUAUAAUUGCACAUGAACCGAAGAGUUUAUCUAUUCGGUUUGGCUCUGAAACCGAACCGAAUUCAUAUACCGUUCGGUGGAAGUAAAAUGAAACCAUCCAGUUUUUUCCCCUUAAACCGAACUUGCAAAUAGAAAUUAUUCGGUUCGAUUCGCCAAAAAUCGAAUCGAAUUUGAUUUCCAGAUAAUUUUUUCCAACCGAACAAAAGAAAAUAAAGAGGAAACAGAAAAGCUCUCCUCUCCUACCUUAAUUUCUUAACCGAACAUGGCCUAAAGGUAAUCAGCACCCUUUAUGCUUUACUGUAAUAAGAAUUAUAAAUUUUGUCUGUUAUAUAAUCCGAUCAAAACUGACCUUAUAUUGAUGAAGAUCAAAUCAAAGAAGCUAAGAUUUAAUAGAACCAGAACCAAGAACAAGCAAAGCAUUAAAGAAUUUGACAAGACCAUAUAACGUGGUUCGGCAACAAGAUGCCUACAUCCACGACUGAAAUCAGCUCUGCUCUGAAACGGUUUUUGAAUGAGAUGUGUAACAGAUGAUUUUUGAGAUUACAGAGAUUAAAACUUCCCUACCUGAGAUUUUUCCAUCUCUCUCAAAAUCAAUCACUAAGACUUUGUAACUGCCAGCUUGUUUUCUUUUAUAAUUCCAGGCAACAACUUUAACAACUGAUGGCCCCACACCAACGCCAGCUCAGCACGCCACCUCAUUCACUCUUAACAGAAUAUAACUACCCAGGCUUCACAAUGUCUUACAUUUACAUUUAUCUUAAAGUUUUUAUUAACUCGAGUGUCUUGUGAGUGACUGCUAAACAAAGAAUUUUUUUUUUAACACAAUCAAAUUAGAUAUCGGUUGUGGCUAAGUUAUAAAAUAAUGUCCAUAAAUAUUUGAUGCUGUCAUGGAUAUACAUUCUAAGAUACAUUGUGUUUGUUUUCAGACGAUCCAUCUAAGUUGCUAGCUUAAUGCAUCGUGGAUAGCUAGUACGUUUUGUGCUGAUUAAUUAAAGUCGGUUCUAAUUCCAGAAGUUUUAUGAUCCAUUUUCAACUUAAUUGAUUUUUAUACUCUUGUGGGUGAACGGUAAUGAAAGAAUAUUAAAUAAAUUUGUAAACUUAAGCCAAGUAGACUGAUACAUCUUUGUUUUCCAAGCACGGGGAAUUUUUUCUUUAACACAAACUAGAAGAUAAAAGCUUUAAUCAAUAAUAAUUACAACGGAAUUCCAGCUUAUGUCGCUGCCCCUUGGACGACUGAAUUGGUAAUCUGAAAAGAAACAAACGGAACUUGCCACGUUUAAUAUAUCUGAAAUAUCAAUCAUUACAAUGCCACUGCGCUCAGAAAUUCAUUUCAUCGCUGUCAAGUGGAUGAAAUUCAUCAAUCCAUUCUUGGCAUUCAUGCAAUCAGACAUGCUUCCUGAGAAAGAAAGUCAAUGGUGCCAGCUUAAGGAAUAAACCACAAAGAAAACCCACUCCAGUCUUCCGCUUAAUAUCAGUCAACUGAGUUGCUAUUUGAACAAGAAAAUGGAUCCAUCAUCUGAAAACAAACGCAAGGAACUAUAUAUCCAAAACAGCAAAUAUCCAGAAAUAACAUUAAUCAAAAUCUGCAACUCUAAAACUAUGACAGAUAAGCUUGCAAAUUUCUUUUGAUUACCUAUUGUUGUUAGCUGUAAGGUGAAUUCAAACACCUGGUUACUAAACGGCGGCGUUUCAAGUUUCUUGAUGGCUUAACAAACUCACAUGAGAAGCACGACCUUGUUAUUACUUUGAAACGGCAAAGAGUGCUAGCGUUUUGGAGUCACUUGAAUUAAGUAAAUCACACAAGCAGUCACGUGAGCUACAAUUGAAGCCAAGUUCAUUAUACCAGAAUCUUUGCACACGUGUCAUAUAGCUGUGCAUUCUGGGUUGUUAAGUUUGUUAAGAGACUGGUUUAUAAGCUGAUGAAUCAGGAGAAGCUGCAUGAAUGCGAGAGAAAUACUGAGAGGAAUUGUAGAGAGAGAGAGAGUUAAAUCUUAUUCUUUGUUCUUUUUUUCUCAACUCUCUGUAACAAACACCUUGAAUCUUUCAAUGAAAGCCUGCUGGUGGAUUCACCCGUGGAUGAAAGCCAUUAAUGGCUGAACCACUUUAAAUUUGCUGAGUGUUCUGUUGAUUGUUCUCCGAUCUUAGUUGUUCAGUUCUUGUGCUGUUAAUAAUCCUUUGUUUGAUUCAAGUGAGGUUUAUUGAUUCUUCCAAAUCGAUUAAUCUGUUACAUGCAACUCGAUUGAUCUUGACAAAGGAUCUUGGGUAGAAUCUGAUUUUUUGUUGUGUGAAUCGAACGAAUCAGAUCCUACACCUAUCAACCACGGUGACAAGAUUAGAAAAAUAAUUGAGUUGAAAAUGCUGUAUUGACAAUCCUCAUUUGAUUUAAAAAAAAAAUAGAGGUGAUGUGAUAUAUCUUUCAGUAUGCAAUCUAAACAAUAAAUUUUUAAAAUAACAAAAAAUGGCAUAUUAGAAAAUCUAGACUAGGACAGAUCGACUAUAUUCUCUCCAUGGUAGUAAAUUUAAGAUAAAAAUAAAAAGUAAGAAGCAUUUUUUAUCAAUUUAGCUAAUGAUACAACUGUAUGGGGGAUAAAAGAAAGCACAUUGUUGUAGGGGAUAUGAGAUGGAAUGGAGCAAUAAAAUCUACUCCUCUAAAUACGAUUGUUACUCGUAUAAGAAUUUCCCAUCUAUGUUAACGCAAGGAAUGUUUGCAAUCUUGGGCCACUCUUUUCCUUUAUCCCUUUUGCACUCUUUUUUCAGCUUCGGACAAGCUUCGAUUGUUAAAUCCAGGAGUGAGGUUGGAAGGCCCUCCUCUGGAAAAGAUUUAAGAUUUGGACAUUUAAUGAGCAGCAAAAAUUCAAGAGAGGUUAGGCUUUGAAAACCCAUUGAAGAUAGGUAUUUCAAUUUCGACAACUUAACAAUAAAGAGGUUUCUGAGAGAGGUCGGCAACAUCAUUCCCAUCUCCUCGUCCGGAAAACACUCUGCUUCAUCACAUCCAUAAAUAUCAAGGCUUCUGAGAGAGGUAAGCCUGUGCAACCCCCACUGAAUGAGUGGCUUAUAAAUUUUCACAUCAACUCCAAUACUAAGUGUUGUUAGAUUGGUGGGAAAACCUUCCUCUGGAAAAGAUACAAUGCUCGGACAUUCACUUAUGUAAAAAUGUUGAAGAGAGUUGAGUUUGUGCAUGUCACUGGGCAGGGCUUCAAGCUUCUCACAAUCGGCUAUCCAAAUGCUCUGUAAAUUAUGCAGGCCAUUGGGUAUUGACUUCAGCUCUGGACAACUACUUAUGUGGAGGUAUUGAAGCCCCUCAAGUAGCUGGAUUCCUGAUGAUAAACUUGUGAGCUCUGGGCAGCGCCUUAUCUCCAGAUGUUUCAGCUUCACUGAUGAAGAAGAAGAAGUAUCAUCAUCUCCACCAUCGACCAAAUGCUGCAAGUUCUUACAAUUCUCUAUCUCAAGCCUUUUAAGAGAUGCUGGUAGCUUGCUUCUUGCAAUGAAUGUUACAGAAUCACAAUCUCGGAUGUACAAACUUUCCAGUUGUGAAUUGUUGCCUAUAAUUUCCUCAGGCAAUGUUUUUAAAGCUCUGGCAUUUCCAAUUUUAAGAGACCGCAGAUUAUUGAGAAAAAGUUUAAUCUCUGGAAAUGAAACUAGACUUACGCAGCUUUCAUCAAUUGACACCUCUUCAGGGGAGGUGAUAACUUGCAACCCUUUCUCUGGCUGCUCAAGUUCAUGCCAUGACGUGAUCCAUUCAAAAUUUCCAAUCCGCAAAGUCUCUACUUGAUGAAGUCCUUGCUUUAAAAAUUUUCUUAACUCCAAAAUAUUGGAAAUAACUGUCACAGAGUCUGCUUCUGGACAACCACUAUGUAUCAUCCCCUUGCAUCCGCGUAUCUGCAAUGUAUCAUUUGAAAUAGUCAUAGACUCGAUCAACUUUGAGUCAAUUGGAGUGCUGCACACAAGUCCCUUGCAUUCAUGAAUUUCUAAUUUGCAAAGAUUCAGAAAGCUUGAGAAUGAAACUACCAACUCUCCACAUUUACUAACAACUAGUUUCUCUAAUGAAGGGAGAUGCUCUGGCAAUUUUCCAGAGAAUAAGGGACAUCUUACCAUGGAAAGUUCACGAAGGCUGGAGAAUCCUGCAACAAUGCCAUUUUCUUCCAAUUUAGUGUCCCAAUACUCCCACUCUGGUAAAUUCUCAAAACAGAGAAUCUCCAAUGAUUGAAAAGGCUUUGAGCAAUCCUCACCAUAAACCUCAGCACCCAUGCUUUUCAGUUUCAUCAAACCUUUAAUAGUAAGAUGUUUAAGUGAACUCAACAACCCGAGCGAUGGCAAGGAUGUGCAAUUUUCACAGUUUUCUAAUUUAAGAACCUCCAUCUUGGAGAAAGAUGUAUCUCCUAUCCAAGAAGGAAAUUUUUUUCCACCAUAGCCCUCGAUUGCAAGUUUCUUGAUGUUUGUACAAGGUUUUAGCAUGCCAAGUACAAGUUCUUCUCCAUCCUUAUUUCGUGAGUUGUCAAACUGAGAUCCCCAUUGCAAUGACAAUGCUUCUAGAUUCUGCUUCUCGCAUAACAUCGCUUCGCUUGCCUCCCACGUACGGUCCACAUUUUCCAAUCCUGAGAUGCGUUACAGAAUCACAAUCUCGGAUGUACAAACUUUCCAGUUGUGAAUUGUUGCCUAUAAUUUCCUCAGGCAAUGUUUUUAAAGCUCUGGCAUUUCCAAUUUUAAGAGACCGCAGAUUAUUGAGAAAAAAUUUAAUCUCUGGAAAUGAAACUAGACUUACGCAGCUUUCAUCAAUUGACACCUCUUCAGGGGAGGUGAUAACUUGCAACCCUUUCUCUGGCUGCUCAAGUUCAUGCCAUGACGUGAUCCAUUCAAAAUUUCCAAUCCGCAAAGUCUCUACUUGAUGAAGUCCUUGCUUUAAAAAUUUUCUUAACUCCAAAAUAUUGGAAAUAACUGUCACAGAGUCUGCUUCUGUACAAUCACUAUGUAUCAUCCCCUUGCAUCCGCGUAUCUGCAAUGUAUCAUUUGAAAUAGUCAUAGACUCGAUCAACUUUGAGUCAAUUGGAGUGCUGCACACAAGUCCCUUGCAUUCAUGAAUUUCUAAUUUGCAAAGAUUCAGAAAGCUUGAGAAUGAAACUACCAACUCUCCACAUUUACUAACAACUAGUUUCUCUAAUGAAGGGAGAUGCUCUGGCAAUUUUCCAGAGAAUAAGGGACAUCUUACCAUGGAAAGUUCACGAAGGCUGGAGAAUCCUGCAACAAUGCCAUUUUCUUCCAAUUUAGUGUCCCAAUACUCCCACUCUGGUAAAUUCUCAAAACAGAGAAUCUCCAAUGAUUGAAAAGGCUUUGAGCAAUCCUCACCAUAAACCUCAGCACCCAUGCUUUUCAGUUUCAUCAAACCUUUAAUAGUAAGAUGUUUAAGUGAACUCAACAACCCGAGCGAUGGCAAGGAUGUGCAAUUUUCACAGUUUUCUAAUUUAAGAACCUCCAUCUUGGAGAAAGAUGUAUCUCCUAUCCAAGAAGGAAAUUUUUUUCCACCAUAGCCCUCGAUUGCAAGUUUCUUGAUGUUUGUACAAGGUUUUAGCAUGCCAAGUACAAGUUCUUCUCCAUCCUUAUUUCGUGAGUUGUCAAACUGAGAUCCCCAUUGCAAUGACAAUGCUUCUAGAUUCUGCUUCUCGCAUAACAUCGCUUCGCUUGCCUCCCACGUACGGUCCACAUUUUCCAAUCCUGAGAUGCAAAGUUCUCCGCCAAGAAAAUUUAAAUUCUUCAAAUCCGUCAAAGUGGAAACUUUUCCCUUGCCCACAAUAAAAUUAGACAACGUUUGAAGACACUUCAACUCCUUCAUUCCCGGUGGCAUCCCUUUUAGUGAAUUUGCACCUUUUAUAUCGAGAUGACGUAACUGAAGCAAAUUCCCCAUUUUGGAUGGCAACUUAAUCAAACAAUAACAAUCUCUUAAUAUCAAUAUUUGCAAGUUCAGUAGCAAGCUUGUUGACUCGGGUAAACUUUUGAUACUAGAGCCUUCGAGGUUGAGAUACCUUAGAGAUCUCAUAGUGUCAAAAGAAAUGGGUAACUGGGUGAUGUAGUAUCCUUUUAAAGAUAGCACCCUUAGCUUCUUGAAUUUUGGCAACAACUCCGAUAGAAACAUGUUACUAAUGUAAGUGGUGGCUCCUAUUGUGCUUAUUUGCAAGAAUGUCCUCAGUUGUGCAAGUUGAGCAUUACCGAUAACUUCAAAUUUAUUUUUACCAUCACACCAUCCUUGAUUGUAAGAAUAAUGACGAACCCUUUCAAAUCUUCUCGAUGGCUUAUUGACCUCUUCUAACCUGAAAAUAGUGUCGCCGGAAACCAAUUGAGUGAGAUCAUGAACUAGGUCAUGCAUUACAAAUUUAGAGCUAUCAACACAUGAUUGCUGGAAAAUUGACCUUGACACUAGACCUCGAAAACACUCUCUUCCCCAUUUUUCUGGCUGCUUAUUGUUUUCGGAAUAUUGCUGGAUGACACCUUCAGCUAUCCACAAAAAAACAAGCUCAUUCUGCUGAAAUUCAUAAUCUUUAGGGAAAAUAGCACAAUAAGCAAAACAUCUCUUCAACUGAGAAGGAAGAUAGUGAUAACUCAAUCUUAACACUGAGAGAAUGCCAUUUUGUUGAGGAAGAUCCAAUAUAUUGCUGUUCAAUAUUUCAUCCCAUUCAUCAUGUCUCUUGGAACGUAAAAGUCCCCCAAGAGUUUUUGCCGCUAGGGGCAAGCCUCCACACUUUCCAACAACUUUCUCGCGAAAUAAAUCUGAAAUUUGUUGUGCAGUAAUAUCUUGACCCACAAACGCGUGCAUCAUGAACAGGGACCAGCAAUCUUCAUCUGACAGGCACUGUAGGUUAUAUUGUUGAAUUGGUUCCAUUGUUGCUGCAACAUGUGCAUGGCGAGUGGUGACAAUAAUUUUACUGUUUGGUGCAGCAGCCAGGAAUGGAGCUUUCAGAUCUUCCCACAAGCAGUAGUCCUCGUUCCAUACAUCAUCUAAGACCAGCAAUAAUUUUUUCCCAUCAACAGCCCUUUUUAUCUGAACCUGCACUUCGUUUAAAGCCUUGAGAUCACAUGAUGCGAAGGUGAUUGACUCAAGAAGAGCCCUUGAAAUGUUCAACACAUCAAAGUCAUCAGAGACACAAACCCAUGCUUUUACAUCGAACUUGGAGUCUUCAAUGGCCCUGUCAUUGUAGACCUCCCGAGCAAGGGUUGUUUUUCCGACCCCAGCCAUGCCAACGAUUGGUAUUACAGCAAGGUUGGAAUGAUCACUUGACGUAUCAGUCAGUACCAUUUCAAGCAUUUUGGCCUUAUCUUGCUGCCUCCCAAAAACAGCACGUUCAAUUGACACACUUGAAGUGGGUGUUCUUCGUUGUGCAGUAGUAGUUGAUGAUGUCCCUCCAGGAGUCAAUUGCAAUCCAAGAUGAAUUCUUUGAUUGCAGAGUCGAUCAAAUCGGCCGGUGAUAUCUUUUAUGCUGGACCGCAUUUUGCCAUUGAAAUUAACAGUGUUCUGAAUUUUGAAACAACCGAAACAACCUGCCGGGACGAGCAUCUGAACUUUGCUACUGCUGGCUCCAUGAUCACGAUCUGCAAUGAACUUGCGAUCCAAAGCGCCAAGGCGGAUGUACGGUACAGCAGAUUGAUCAAUAAAAUUAGUCAUUAUUGACUUUUCAAGCAUAAUCGGUUUACUGCUCGUAAUGAAAUGGAUUGAUGUUUGCUGAUUGAAAUUUUUUCACAAUCAAAUUGCUGCUUGGGAGUUGUCGAUUUACUAUUUAAUUCUAGAGAGUUCACUGAUUGAAGUCGGCUUGUGGCUUGUGAUUUAAUCAGUUUGCCAUUUGAUCCAUAGACCCCUCUAUUGGAAGUUAGCUUGCCGCUUAUGAGUAAACAAUUUGCCAUUUAAUUCUAGAAGCUAAUAUCAACCCACUUGAUUAGCUGCUUCAAGUCUAGCGGUAUGCUGCUUAAUUUCAGAAACAUUUCCCAACCUUAUCAGAUGCCUGCUUGAAGUUAGUGGUUUAUCGUUUGAGUGCUAAAAAGUAUAGUUUUGUCCAAACCUACCAAAAUAGCUUUAUAAAUGUACAAGGAAAUAAUUUUACUCCUAGUUAGCCUUCUCUUUGAUCUCAUCCCCAACCACCAUCUAAGAACAUAGAUUCCCAACCAUGUAUACCACUUUUUUGAUAACUUUACCAUAUGAGUGACUGUGUCUGUUCAAUUUAAAAUAACAUUUAUUUUUUGAAACCUUUCAAAUCAUUCAUAUUAGAGUUCAGUAACUCGUUUUAUAAGAUUAUAUUUCCACAUAAAUAAAUUUUUCUUAAAAUAUAAUGAGAGAAUAAGUUGAGCUUUUAAAUGCUUUGAUCAUGCAUUCAUUUGUUCAUAUGAGCUUUACAAAAUGAAAUAUCUAAGCUUAGUAACCCUAAUGCCCAUUCUUGUCUAGAUAGAGUUUUGUGCAUUUAAAUACCUUAAGCUUAUGAACAAUGCAUUUCAUAUUCUACCAUUGACACAUGGUUUGUUAUAGUCAAAAUUGAAAGACCGUAUAACCAUAUAGGUCAACAAAAUGUUCCAAAGGAAUGGAGUCAUAUUGAUCCA
rnacentral:lncRNA from 1 species